AUUGAACGCUGGCGGCAUGCCUUACACAUGCAAGUCGAACGGUAACGGGCCUUCGGGUGCCGACGAGUGGCGAACGGGUGAGUAAUGUAUCGGAACGUACCUUUCAGUGGGGGAUAACGUAGCGAAAGUUACGCUAAUACCGCAUAUUCUGUGCGCAGGAAAGCAGGGGAUCGCAAGAACUUGCGCUGAUUGAGCGGCCGAUAUCAGACUAGCUAGUUGGGGAGGUAAAAGCUCACCAAGGCGACGAUCUGUAGCGGGUCUGAGAGGAUGAUCCGCCACACUGGAACUGAGACACGGUCCAGACUCCUACGGGAGGCAGCAGUGGGGAAUUUUGGACAAUGGGGGCAACCCUGAUCCAGCCAUGCCGCGUGAGUGAAGAAGGCCUUCGGGUUGUAAAGCUCUUUCGGCCGGGAAGAAAUCGUAUCAGCUAAUACCUGGUGCGGAUGACGGUACCGGCAUAAGAAGCACCGGCUAACUACGUGCCAGCCGCCGCUGUAACAC
rnacentral:rRNA from 1 species